rnacentral:lncRNA from 1 species
GAUGGGUGGCUUGUAUUUGGCGGUGACUUCGAAUAUGUUUCCAAAGAUGUUGUAUUGGAUGAACCUGCCACCGUGACUGAGCGUGGCCGGAAUAUUGUCGAUCCCCAUGGCUGCUGCCGGGGGCUGAUGGGGUUCUGGAUGCGGUGCAGCAUCCGACAUAACGGUGUCAGCAGGCGGAGCAGCUCCUCCUCCUCCUUCCAUUGGUUGUGUUGCCUUCUAUCUUGCGUCUAAAAUUGAAAGAAAGUGAGAAGAGAGAGAGAGAGAGGAUAAGAGAUGGUUAAUGAAGUUUGAGUUGGUGAUGGAAUGAAUAUAUUUAUAAUAUGUAUGUGGGAAAUGUUGAUGAUGUUUAUGAUAGUGGUAGCGGUGAUGUGAUGCAAUCGGUGUUAUGAACAAUAGGAUUAGAAGAAGAGGAAGAAGCAGAAUGAACCUGAUUUCUGUGAGGGCUUUUGGUCAAACAGAUCUGUACUCUCUCUCUCUCUCUCCCAACUUCUGUAAAAACUGUCAUCUCCUUCUUCUGUCAAUCUUUUCUUCUUUUAUUCAUUUUUUUUUCUCUUUUUUUUUUCAAUUUUUCCUUUUUUAUAUAUACAUUUUUCUUACAUUAAUCUUGUUCAAUGCAGGGUUAAACAUUAAUUAUUAACAUAUUUUCUGUUCUUGCUUAAAGAAUUUUAUGCAAGUUACUUCAUUUCUCAUGACUUAAUUGCCCUUGAUAAAUUAUAUUAGCACCAAUUUUGUUUGAUAAGUUUAAUGCAUUUUUUUAACUCCUUGAUUGGUUGGUUUAACAAUGGCCUUUUAUUAUAAUCUUAUUUUGAGUAAUAUUUGAAGGAUUAAAAAGUUUACUAAAGAUGUGUGGCUAUUAGUUAAUGUUUAUUUUUAAUUAUUAGGAGUAUUCAAUAAAGUACAUUAAUGUUCUACACUUAAUGAUUUUUUAAACACUCAUUAUCAAGAUUUACAUAUAAUUUUUAUUAAAAUCUUUUUACAUGGUAACAUUCUUUUGGUGCAUAAGUUUUAUUAAUUCACAUAUUAAAUGUUUUUCUAAUUUAAAAUACCAUGUUUAUGAAACUUUAAAAUAUUAAAUGAAUUUUAAAUUUAAGUUUAAUAUAAAAAUUAAGUUAAAUUAUUAAAUGUUUUAAAUUAAAAUUUAUUCAAUUAUUUCUAAGUUUAGAUUGAUUAAAUAUUUAAGAUUUAAAAUUAUUAAUGUUUUCUAAAGUUAAAAUUAUUAAAACUACUGAACGUUUCAUCUUGUUUUAAAAUUAAAUGAUUUUAUUUUUAUUAAAUGGACUUGGUUUUAAUUUCAUAAUUAACUUUACUAAUUGGACUUUUUGUUUUAAUUGUUUAAUUAAAUAAUUCUACAGCAGUUAAUAAAUGAUUUUCCGAACUCUUUUAGAGCAUUAAUGGACACACUGCAUACUGAUAUUUCCACUGUAUAAUUUCAUUUUUGUUUUAACAUCAGGAAAAAAAUAAUUUAUCUUUUUUAUUAAAAUUUUCUUUCUAAUUCACUUAGAUUUAGGACUUUCCAUUAUAACACCCUAAAAAAAAUAGUUAUUUCAGAUAAUGUAGUUAAUAUUGUAAUUUAUAUGACAAAUUUUUAAUUAAUGAGAUUUUAAAAUGAUUUAUUUUUAUUGUUUUUUUUUAUUCAUAAUGAAUUCACUGCAGUUAAUAGCUAUUUUUGGGUAAUUUUAUAGAGAAAAUAAUUAAUACAUUACUGGGUAUAUUGCAGCAAUUUAUUACUUCCCCCAAUGUAAAAUUUUAAUAAAUGAAAUAACAAGAGUUUGUUUUGGAUAUAAGAUUAAUUUAUUCGAUAACUUUGUCGGUAACUUCCUUUUAAAAUAAAAAUAAUUCAAUUAUAAAAAAAAUUAUUUCAAAAUUAGUUGAACAAAUCAUAAGAGUGUGAUGGUGCAAAAUAGUUAAUCAAACAUAUAUAGAGUGAAAAUAAUAAUAAUAAUAACUUAUUGACACACAUUUUAUAUUUAACUAAUAUUUAUUAAAAAUUAUAAAUAUGUAUGAAUCUCAUUCAAAAAAAUACGUAUAUUGUUCAAUGAAUAAUUUUACAUGAUUUUCAAUAUUAAAGUUUAUAAAUAUAUUGAUAAAAUAUUAUUUUUAUAAAUAUUUAUAACUUGGAUUUUUUAAGGAUAUGAUAAAACAUUUUAUUUGAUUUACAGUUAUGAGAGGAGAUUGGGUUAUAAUAUAAAAAAUAAUUCUUAAAAAAUACAAUUAUAUAUAAUUAAAAUUUAUCAAUAAUUUAUCAAUAAAUUAGUAUUUGUAACCUUUCACCUAUUUAAUCCAACCUCAUUUUUUUUAAUUUAAAAUUUUCCAUUGUCUAACGUUAAAAAAUCUUAAGUGAUGAUCAAUUGAAAUGAAUAGUCAAUGAAAUUUUUCUUACAAAAAGCUGGUCAACAAUAAACAAAAAUGUGUUUUUAUAAUUAAAAUUUUAAAAUUUAGAAAUUAGAAGAUGAUUUAUCUUAUUAAAUUACAAGUUUAAUUAUAUUUUUAAUUUUUAUAUUUUCCAAAAACAUCUUUAUUUUUGUUUCUAGUUUUCUUUUUUAUAAUUUUAGUCUUAAAUUUUAAUUAUUCUUAUUUUUGGUUUCUAUUUUUUUUAACAGUUGAUUAUUUAGUUUUUAACUUUUCCUAAUUUUAUCUAAUACACAAUUGAUAUUAUUAUUUUCCUUGCUGUAAAAAAAGUUACUACUCGAUAUCUAAAGUAAAAAGGUUACGGAUUAUUAAAUUAAAUAUUGAAUAAAAUUAUAAAUAAUAAAAAAACUAGAAAUAAAAAUGACAUACUGUUAAAUAUAGUAAAAGUUAUAUAUGGAAUUAAUCUCUUGUGUUAAAUACAUACAUAGAGUUUUCUGUUUAUAAUAGAAGAAAUAAAUAUGGGUUAAGUCCAAAAUACAAAUAAACAAUAAUAACAAACUAACUAAAGAUAAAAAAUAAACAUAAAAUAAAGAUAAUAUAUCUAACAUUUCCCCUCAAGUUAGUACGUACAUAUGUACCAAGCUUGUUACUAAUAUAAUCCAUCAAGAUUUAGUGAAAAUACAUGCUUCUGACUCGAGUGACACCAAAUUGUUAAUGAUUUGCAAGACAACAUAAAAGACGAAAUACCGACCCUAAAGACUCCUCCUGAGCAACAAAUUUGGGAGGUUACUUCAUGUAAAUAUCUUCUUACAAAUCGCCCUUGGGGAAUGUCACCAUUAGAUAAAGAGAUAAUUGUUGGAGAGUCACCAUGACUAUAAAUAAACUAACAAAAACCCAUCUUUUCCAUGGGAGAAAAAACAUAUAUGGACGGGUCAAACGCAAUGGUGAAAAGAGAGGUCAAAAGAGACAACAGCGGAAGAAGUCAUGGAUGAACAGGAGAAAGUAUUGAUAUUUGUUUUAUGUUAAGAUUACUAUUUUGUGGUAGUAAUCUGUUAGGAUAGUUUGUUUUAAAUGUCUUUCCCGGUUCCCUUUUACUAACCUUUAAAAGGUUAGUUUUUCCCCUUAGUUUGUAACACACAAAACAUUUGAUCAUUCACAGAUAUGAGAAGUUAAAGUUUUUCUUACCUUUUCUUGUUGCUCUUGCUCCGAUCUAUCCUUUUUCUUCUUCCCUCAUCAACGGCAGAGAACUUCUGGUGUGCCUUCCGUUCCUUCUCUCUCCACCACGAAGAAGAUGCUCAACACUCUUCCUCUCUCUAUUCAUUCUCGAAGACUGACAAGUCUGGGAGCUUUUGGAAGAGAUAAUUUUUAUCUCCGUUGGACCCUUCAACAAUUGGGUUUCAGUUUAAAGGCUAUUGGGCCUUUCUUUUCUCGACUUAAGGCUAUUGGGCCUUUUUCUACAAUAUGGUAUCAGUAGUGCAACCUGUUUCUUGAGUUGUUCUUGACAUCUUGACCCAUUCUUGACAUGACGAAAAAUAACCUAAAUCCCACCACUAAUCCCUCAAGCCCCUAUUAUCUUCAUCUUGUUGAAAAUCCAGGUAUUACUCUCAUUUCUCAGGUUCUUACUGAAACCAAUUACUCAUCCUGGAGCAGAAAUUUAAAAAGAGCUAUACUCUCCAAAAACAAAAAUUAAAUCAAAUGAUGGCAGUAUCAAAAAGCCUGCCAGAACCGAAAAAUUAUUUGAAGCCCAGGAGAGAUGUGAUACAAUGGUUCUGUCUUGGAUCAUCAAGACCCUUUCAACCCACAUUGCAGAAAGCGAUCUUUGGAAAGAACUCAAAGAUAGGUUUUCUAAGGGAGACUAUUUCAAGAUUUCAGAUUUAUUACAAGGUAUCCAUUCUAUUAAGCAAGGAGAAAGAAAUAUCAGCCAAUAUUUCACUGACUUAAAAAUUCUUUGGGAAGAAUUAGAAUCUCUUAGGCCUAUACCUUGUUGCACCUGCAAGAACCCAUGUACUUGUGAUCUGUCUAAAAUCUCUCUAAAGUAUAGAGAGGUUGAACACGUUAUUUGCUUCCUAAAAGGACCCAAUUACACUUAUCAAACUGUUCAGACUCAAAUACAUCUGAUGGUGCCACUUCCCAACAUCAACAAGGUCUUUUCUCUCCUUAUACAGCAAGAAAGGCAACAUCAGGACAAGGGAGGCCAGAAUGAUUCUUUCAAAAUUCUCGCCAGCACAUCUGACAAGCCCAACUGGAAAAGUCAAGGUCGUGGCACUAGCUCACGUGGUCAAGGAAGAGGAAGAGGGAGAAAUCCCAAUUAUGGGAAGCAAUGUUCCCAUUGUCACAAGAUGAAUCACACGAUUGAUGAAUGUUACUCUAAACAUGGCUAUCCACCAUGGUACAAGAAGAAUGAUCACCAAAACAGUCAGGAUAGGAGAGGCCAAAAGGAAUGGAGUUAUGUUAAUGCUUGCAAAGAUGAUUCCUCCUUUACCCAGACACAGAAUGCCCAACAGGAAAAUCAUAGUAAUUCUAUGCAGAUCUUUACUCCUGAACAGAUGCAAAAACUGUUAAAACUUAUAUAGGGUACCCAGACACAGAAUACCCACAACAUUAAUCAAGUUCAGAGAAACAUCCAUGGAGACAACCAAGGUAAUUUCUCCUGGAUUAUUGACACUGGGGCCACUAAUCAUGUGACCCAUGAAAGAAAAUAUUAUAUUACCUUUCAGAAAAUUAAACUCAUAUCAGUUAAACUUCCUAAUAAUUUUGUGGUUAUAGCCCAACACGCUGGAACUAUCCAAUUUUCUGAAAAUUUUAUCAUUUUCAAUGUUCUCUACAUUCCUGAAUUUUCCUUCAAUCUUAUAUUUGUACAAAGUCUAACAAGGACUUAAAUUGUAUUUUAACAUUUUCUUCUAAGACUUGCCAGAUUCAGGACAACUCUACCUUGAAGAUGAUUGGGCAUGCUAAUGUUUUCAUAGACCUUUACUAUCUUCAGUCAUUUCCUGUUUUUACCCAGCACUAUGUACCUAAGACUGUUCUUUCUUGUAAACAUGUUAGUAAUGAUCUAUGGCAUUAUAGAUUGGGACAUCCUGGUCACAAAAUCAUAGAACAAAUAUGUAAAAAUUUUCCUUAUGUUCAAAUGCCAUCUAAAAUUGUUUGUGAUAUUUGUCAUUAUGCUAAACAACAUAAACUGCCUUUUUCCCAGAGCACCAUUGUUUCUGCUAACUGUUUUGAUAUAUGGGGACCCAUUUCUAUAUUUUUUAUCCAUGGGCAUAGAUACUUUCUUACCAUAGUUGAUGACUACAGUAGACAUACGUGGGCCUUUCUAAUGCACAAUAAAGGACAAACUAGAGAGCUUUUACAGAAUUUUAUCCUAAAAAUCAAAAACUAGUUUGGAAAAACUGUUAAAAGUCUUAGAUCUAAUAGGGGCCCUGAAUUUAAUUGUAUUAAUAUGUAUGAUUCCUACGGUAUUGAUCAUCAAAAGAGUUGUGUAGAGACAUCCCAACAGAAUUCUAUUGUUGAACGUAAACAUCAAGACAUAUUAAAUAAAACUCGUAGUCUCCUCUUUAAAUCUGGUAUCCCUACUGCUUAUUGGUGCUAUGUUGUUUCUCAUGCUAUCUAUUUGAUAAAUAGGCUUCCUUCUUCUGUUCUAAAUGGUAAAACUCCCUACGAUUUGAUAUAUAAUAAUCCUCCCACUUAUUUGAACUUAAAAACUUUUGGCUGCCUAUGUUUUGCUUCUACUUCAGAGCAUAACAGACAUAAGCUUGAUUCUAGAGCUAGGAAAGGUGUUUUCUUAUGAUAUAAAAAUGGGGUUAAAGGAUAUAUUGUACUUGAUGUGAAUACUAGAGAAAUUUUCCUAAGCAGGAAUGUCAUUUUCUAUGAGAAUAUUUUUCCCUACAAAAACCAACAGAAUAAUGAGAACAAUUGUGCUAAAAAAGAAAUUGAAACUGUUUUUCCUAAUGACUUUUGGUAGGGUCCUAACUGUAAUGGAACCCAAAAUUUUUUGGAGAAUAAAAACACUGAGCAGGUACCUGAUCACAGAGAAAACACUAGCACCAACACUGGUAAUGGUCAUAAUGGUGACAGCUCUAGAAGACCCACUAGACCAAAAAGGGUCCUUGGAUAUCUAAAUGAUUACAUCCAUCAUGUUAAUCACUCCUCGCCUGAUUCUCUACAUGCUAAGAAUAAUUACAAAACCCCCUAUCCUAUUUCCAAUGUUUUGUGUUAUGACUCUUUGUCUGAAAAACACCUAAAGUACACUUUAGCUAUUUCUGCUGAUAAUGAGCCUAAAUCUUAUAAUGAAGCCAAGGAAAAUCAUGAAUGGGUUACAGCUAUGUAGAAAGAACUCAAAGCUUUGCAGGAUAAUGGGACUUGGCACUUAACUCAACUCCCUCCUGGAAAAAACUUCAUUGGUUACAGGUGGGUUUACAAGAUUAAGCAUAAAGCUGAUGGCAACAUAGAAAGAUACAAAGCUCGCUUAAUAGCUAAAGGCUAUACUCAGCAAAAAGGUAUAGAUUUUCAAGACACUUUUUCACCUAUUGCUAAACUAACUACUAUCAGAAUGAUUCUAGCCAUUGCUGCCGCAAAGAAUUGGCAUCUACAUCAACUAGAUGUAGAUAAUGUUUUCCUACAUGGAGAUCUAAAUGAAGAGGUGUACAUGGAACCACCACCAGGGUUGGAUAUUCAUGAGAAAGGACAGGUUUGCAGGUUAACCAAGUAUCUAUAUAGGCUCAAAUAAGCUAGCAAACAACGGUUUGAUAAGUUAUCUUCUUUUCUACUCUCUAUUAACUACACUCAAUCUAAAUCUGAUCAUUCCCUUUUCAUUAAGAAAACUUCCACAAAUUUUAAAACUCUCCUUGUAUAUGUAGAUGAUAUCAUUUUAGCAGGAAAUUCUAUUAAAGAAAUUGAUCAUAUAAAGGCUCUUCUCCAUCAUGCUUUCCGGAUCAAAAACCUAGGAGAGUUAAAAUAUUUUCUAGGCUUUGAAGUUGCCAGAUCUAAGAAAGGAAUACACCUAUGCAAAAGGAAAUAUGCUUUGGAAAUUCUUGAAGAGACAAGGAUGCUGAGAUCCAAGCCUUGCACAACUCCCUUUCUAAGUGACACAAGUUCCUUGUACAAAACUGAAAAUUACUUGACAAAUCCAAAUUCCUAUUGCAGGCUAAUAGGGAAGCUACUUUAUCUCACUAAUACUAUACCUGAUCUAUGCUUUUCUAUUAAUCUUAGUCAAUUUGUUCAUUCUCCUACUGAUUACCACUAUCGAGCUUUGCAGCACAUGCUCAGAUACAUUAAGUCCAGCCCUUCACAAGGCCUUUUCUUUGUUGCUGACUCUCAUAUCCAUAUCAAAGCUUUCAGUGACUCGGACUGGGCAACUUGUCCUAAUACUAGAAGAUCUACCACUGGCUUUUGUGUCUUCCUUGGAUCCUCUCUUGUAUCAUGGAAAAAAAAAAUAUUGUUUCCAGGUCGACUACCGAAGCAGAGUAUCGAGCACUGGCUGCUCCAGUAUGUGAAAAUUCAAUGGAUCUCUUACAUCCUACAAGAUCUCAAUGUUGAGACCACUACGGUUGCUACCCUCUACUGUGACAAUAAGUCUGCCAGACAUAUUGCUCACAACCAAAGCUUCCAUGAAAGAACUAAGCAUAUCGAAUUCGACUGUCACGUUGUACGAGAGAAGAUUCAAGCGGAUCUCCUUCAUCUCCUACCCAUCUGUUCCAACGAGCAACUUGCUGACAUAUUCACGAAACUACCUCACCGUGUGCGUUUUCAGUUUAUCGUUCCCAAGCUUGAAUUGGUAAACAUACACAAUCCAGGUUAAGGGGGGGCUAUUGAUAUUUGUUUUCUGUUAAGAUUACUAUUUUGUGGUAGUAAUCUAUUAGGAUAGUUUGUUUUAAAUGUAUUUCCCGGUUCCCUUUUACUAACCUUUAAAAGGUUAGGUUUUCCCCCAGUUUGUAACACACAUAACAUUUGAUCAUUCACAUAUAUGAGAAAUUAAAGUUUUUCUUACCUUUUCUUGUUGCCCUUGCCCCGAUCUAUCCUUUUUCUUCUUCCUUCAUCAAUGGCAGAGAACUUCUGGUGUGCCUUCAGUUCCUUCUCUCUCCACCACGAAGAAGACGCUCAACUCUCUUCUUCUCUCUAUUCAUUGUCGAAGACUGACAAGUCUGGGAGCUUCUGGAAGAGAUAUUUUUUUAUCUCCGUUGGACCCUUCAAAAAUUGGGUUUCGGUUUAAAGGCUACUGGGCCUUUCUUUUCUCGACUUAAGGCUAUUAGGCCUUUUUCUACAAUAGAGAGAAACUAUAAAAAUAAAAAAUUCUUCAAUCAAGACACCUGAAAAAGGAAAAGAGCAACCUAUAUGCUCUGAAUAAUUGCCUGAAGGAGAUGAGACGUGUGACAACACACGAUGAACCUGAAAAAGGAAAAAGAGUGACAUCGAUCAUCUAAAUCGCUGUGAGAUGCAUCACCAUGCGUGGCGGAAAAGGAAACAAAUCCAUAACUUCAAAAGGUGCUAAGAGCAUGUAGGAGCUCCAAUGAAGGUGUCGUUGAUGACAUGGUGAUCGCAUGGCCGAGACGAUCAAAACCGUAUGAUCGUUGGUUGAAACUGAAACUCCAGUAAUGACAAUAGUAAACAACAACGAUAGACGACGGCGCCUCCUCCGAAAGUAGAUGGUGCCACCGGUGGCAGCAGUGGAUGUGGUAGUAGAGACACUAGAAACCUUUUCUUCAAAAGAACCUGGCUCUAGAUACCAUGUUAAAUAUAGUGAAAAUUAUAUAUGGAAUUAAUCCCUUGUGUUAAAUACAGACAUAGGGUUCUCUAUUUAUAAUAGAAGAAAUAAAUAUGGGUUAAGCCCAAAAUACAAAUAAGCAAUAAUAACAAACUAAAUAAAUAUAAAAGAUAAAUAUAAAAUAAAGAUAAUAUAUCUAACAAAUACUUAAAAAACUAAAACUAUGGAAAAUUAAAGUUAAGAGACUAAAGUUCCACAAAAAGUUUAAUAUAAAAAUUAAUCUUAUAGUUAAGCCUUAAAAAGUUGAUAAAAAUUAUUGAUGUAAUGAUCAGUUGACAUUGAACUAGAUGGUUUAAAAAUUAGACACUCCAUAAAUAUAACCACACAUUACUUUUAAGAUUGAAUGAUUAUGAUACACAAACCGAACGAUUAACCUAUAGAACAAUUACCUCUAACAAUGAUCAAUUUAAGAUAAAAUAUGAUUAUUACCAAUUAGACCAUGAUUAUCGUCAAUAAUCCAAAGCUCAUUUUGAAGUCUAUAAUUACAGGUUUGAGGUACAAAGGUAGGUUAUGACAUUUAACACACAUUGAUAGCUUGAGCUGCUGAAUCUUUACUAACUUUAUCACAAUAUCUUCUGCAGGUAACCUUCAAGCAUAACAGACGAAUAAAAAAAACGAACAACAUUGUAAGGACAAGUACUUGGACUACCAACAACUUAAACAACAGUGAAUCGUUAACCUCAACCCACACACCCGAAACAUUUUGACGACUACCGUGGGGCCAAAUAUUCAAUAGGCAACAACCUAAUGGUGACCACAAGAAACACAUUAGCACUGUAGGACCAAUAGAGUCAAGCUACCAGAAGGAUCCCAUGGAAAUGAUGAGGGCAAUGUUAUGCCAGAUGCAGGAGAUGCAACAUAGGCAUGAAGAGGAGUUGAUAGCUUUGAGGGACAAGAACAUGGUCGUUUGCUAGGAACAGAUCCCCCAACAAUCUAUGUCGGGCAACCCAAGUCAACUCAUCCCCAUCAAGUAGAAGGAAGAACUAUGCAAGACUGUGCAAUAAGGGGGUACAUGAGCCAGCAAGGCUAAUCCCUCAAUGCAAACGAUCCAUACAAUUAGUUUGUUGCCUUUCACUCCGACAAUCAUGGAGAUGCCCAUGCCUUAAGAGUGGAUGGCUCCAACUUUUGAGAAGUAUGAUGGGUCAACCAACCCCGACGAGCAUUUGAGGAUGUUCAUUAACCCGAUGACCUUCUACACCGCAAGUGAUCCCGAUGCAAAGCCUUCUCUCUAUCUCUGAAGGAGAAGCCUUGGUUUGGUUUAACUCGUUGCCACUAAACUCCAUAGCUAAUUUCUUGAGCAUGCGCUCCUUAUUCGGUAGAAAGUUCGUGGUGAGCCAAACGUAAAACCUUAUUACCUUGGCUUUGAUUAACAUCAAAUAAAAAAAAAUAAGCCCAUGAGAGCUUUCAUGGAUCGAUACGAAAAAACCACUUAGUAAAUCAAGGACCUUAGUCAAGAAUUUGCCUUGCAACACAUCGUCAUAGCCUUAAAGGUUGGACCCUUUGUUAAUAGUCUUUGCAUGAAAUUAGAAAAAACUAUGGAAUAAUUAAGGGAGAAAGUCGUAGAGUACAUGCAGGUGGAGGACAUAUAGGGGUUUCACAAGAGACAAUAAGAAGCGACGAACGACGAGAAGAAAGAAGGGAAGGAGCCCAUCGUAAGGAAUGAUAAAGGGAACGGGGUCCAAUAGAAGGAUCUCCCUGGAGGGCUACAUUUCCUACCAGUAUACCCCCCUAAACGCGCCAAGGGUGAAGAUCUUAGAGGAGGCAUUAAAUGUAUACCUUCUCCCACCCAUCAAAAGGAAGCCAACCCCACGUAAUACCAUCGAUAAAAAAACAUUGUCGGUAUCAUCAAAACAUGAAGCACACAACGACAAAGUGCACCACUCUUCGGGACAAGAUAAAGGAGUUUAUUGGUGAGGGUCAUCUCUGGCAUUAUGUGAAAACUGAUUAGGCUAAGAAGUAAAUGUGAUAUUACAAAGAAGUAAAUGUAACUUUUUUGACAUCAUUCCUCCCCAUACAAAGAAGGUACAACACUCGAACACCAUUCUCUUUUCACACACAAGGCUAAAGAGAGUCUUUUUCCCAUAUCGCACGGUCAAAAGCCCAAAACUCAGGAUUUAAUAAGUACACAACUAGACACGUCCAUCACCUUAUAAGCAUCUCACCAAAAGGCCAAACCACAUAUUUUAGACUUCACCCUCAAAGGUAUAAUAAAUCAUAACCCAUUUCAUUCAUCUUUCCAUAUUGGUAUUAAUAUCUCACAAUCACAUGAAGUCAACUAAACACAAAUUAAUACAAAUCCCAAACUCUAAUUCAUACUCAUGAUAGCAAAACAUAUUCUUUCAUUAUCCAAAACCAUUCUCACACUUAUACAGGCACCAUGAUUCUCAUCAGAACCAGCUCAACAUAAAAGAAUACAAUAACAACCAACAUACAAUGGAUAUCUCAACAUAGAACCAUCAUUCAUACACUCACAUACUUGUACACAUCAAUAGAAUAGAAAAUCAUAAACCCUAUUCACAUUCACAUGCAUAAAAACUAGGUAAGCUUCCGCCAAUUCUAAUCUUUUUAUCUACUUAAUAAAAAAACACCCCUAACCUCUCUUAAUUCACGAUCUCACUGUCCCACCGCGAAUGCUCCUGAAGCUGCUAAUUGUUAGAAUUUAUGAUUGACAGAUAUCAAUUAAUGAACAAUAAACCAGUUCCCAAAUAGUAAAGCGGAAGCGUACCUGAAGACAUUGGGAAUAAUUAGUGAAUCUGAAUCAACCUGAAUUAGUCUAUGAUCUUCCUUUUGUAGAGCACCUUUAGUUCCCUCUAGAUUUUCUCUUCUAAUGGGGAUAAAGAAAAAUAAAUAGGAAUGAAUCCUUGUGCUCACAGAAAGGGACCAUGACCCCUUAAAUAACCUCGACGGUUAAUAUUAUUUAGUUUCAAUAAUUAUAACUUGACCCCUUCAACAAAUUAUAAUUAUUGCUGGUCUCUACUCAAUACCUUUCAUGACAAAUAUACCCUUAAUCAUAUUUGUAUUAAUUAGAUCACUUUAUAAAGUUGACUAAUAAAAUAUAAUGAAACAUUUAAUAUUUAUAUAUAUAUAUAUAUAUAUAUAUAUAUAUGACCCAAAAUAAUAACAUUAAUCACUUUCUAAAACCAGUCACUCCCUCACGUUUUCUUCUUUUAAUUCUCACGUAGGAUUUUGUUCUCUUUUUCUCAAACGUGUCUCGUCCUAUUUGCUGCCCAACUUUUUAUUUCAUUGUCAAAACAAUAUCUCAUAUACUGAAAAUUGAUUCUGCCCCAUUUUCUGUUUUUAAAUUAAUGUUGAAAAUCCCACAUUUUCCUUAAUUAUGUUAAAUCCGUUUUUAAAUCUAAAAACUGACUUUAUUCACUUUUUAACCAUUUUUAAACCACCCUAUAUAAUAUCCUCUUUUAUUUCAAUUAGUUUUUAAAAUACUAAAAACAAAUCCUAAUCUAUUUUAAAUAUAUCUAAAAUAUCUUUCAAAUUAAAAUAUAUAAUAUACAACAAUAUCUAAAAAUAUCUUUUAAAAUAAAAUAAACCCUAUAAAUAUAAAUAACAAAAUCAUUUUAUCUUUUAAUUAAAAUACUUUACCACAUUUAUAUACAUUUUUUCUAAUUAUUAAAAUUUAUAGAAUCUCACAUUCAAAUUUAUUAUUAUUACCACAACUCAUACAUUUUUAAUAUUUUCAACUAAUGCUAUCACCUAUUUUCCUAUAUUUGGUUUUAAUAUAUAUAUAUAUAUAUAUAUAUAUAUAUAUAUAUAUAUAUAUAUAUAUAUAUAUAUAUAUAUAUAUAUAUAAUUACAGUGAGAUUGUCAUAACCUUAUAAUUACCAUUUUUUCACUAAGUACCUCUCUAACUAUAUUUAGUAUCAAACUUUAUGAAAGAUAGUAAUAUUCAUUCAUUCAUUAUACACUCAUUCAUUAUAACUACAUAUAUAUAUAAGUGUCAAAUUAUAUUAUACAUCCAUUUUUAACUCCUUUGGUAGCUCUUCCACAUUAUAAAAUUAACAAUCAUUAAUAUAAUAUUAUAUGCAUUCACCCAACACACGUAAACUAUGAAAAAUUUAUAUAAAUAUUAUUUAUAAAUAUUCUUAAUUUUUUCCGAGUCUCACAGAUGGUGGUGGAAAUAUUGUGCACAUAUGGUGAGUUUAAUGUGGUGAGAUGGUAGCUCCUCCUCCAAACUAUAUGAUUCUGUUACCAAUGAGGAGCAUUGGUAUUUUCAAGAUAAAUGAUUUUGAUGCUGCUGCAAGAGAUAAACUCGAAGAAUCAAGUUGUAAUUUAUUUAAAAUCACUUUUGUAAAUUGCAAAUGUAUUGGGAAAAAGUUUGAACAUGUAAAAUCUUAGAAAUCUCCUGUCUUUAGGAUACUCACGCAUAUAAUCGAUUAUUUAAUGUAGUAAUCGAUUAUCACGAGCAUUCUUGGAAAACCAUUGUUCUCUGGAAUAAUCAAUUAUUGCUUCAAAUAAUCGAUUAUCCUGGUCCUGAUAAGAACUGCCAAAGUCCCUGGAAUAAUCGAUUAUUCCUCAAGAUAAUCGAUUAUUACUCUUUUGAAAACCCUGUAACAGACUUAUUACUUACAAUAAUCGAUUAUCACUGGCAUUUGUAAUGUGUCUUUUUAAUUUCAGACCAGUAGGCUAUAUAAAGAAGUCUCAAACCCUUAGAGAAAACAUCUAAGCUUUUUGAGAAUACAGUGCGAUCUGAGGAAGUUCCAAAAAGCUAGUUCAUUGCCUUGUCAUGUCUUGUGUAUAGGAGAAGCUCGCGCUUUGUGUGUCAAAGGUCGGAGUGGUUCUCUUCUAGUUGGCAAAGUUGUUUUCUUCUGGUUCGUUGGUCGAAGGAACAUUCUUGUUGCACUGUUCCGGUUCAUUUGUCGAAGGAAAGUAUUGGUUGCUCGCUUCCGGUUCGUUUGUCGAAAAAAGCUCCCUUCCGGUUCGUUUGUCGAAGGAAGGUUUUGUUUUACCGUUUAUUCAUUAUCUUGUAAUCUGUAAGACUGUUUUUAAUGAAAACGUUAAUCACUCAGCUGGACGUAGAAUCUUUUGAUUGGAACCAAUAUAAAAAUUCUUUGUGUGAAUUUUUCUACUCCAUACACUCUUUUAUUUUGUGCACAUCAACUGUUCGAUAAAAGUUCACUAAGAAAAUUAAUUUUUAAAACGGACCAUUGUAACUUGAUGUUUGACCGUAACACGUUUUCCGCUAUUUCAUUCUGCUGCGCAAAAUCGGUACCGAUUGUUCCAACAAAUUCAAGCAAAAGGAGAGAAUAUGGUGGUGUUUAAGUGCUCCCUACAAUGGUUGGGCCAACUUAAGAGGAAGGGUAACUAGAGGAAACCUAGAAGUGGUGUUUUAGCCUUGGUGACCUAAGUUAAGUAGUAUGACACAAAAUUGGUAAGAUAACAAUACUCAAGUCAAAGUUAAAUUUACAUGGAGGGAGACACCUUUAUUCAUAAGCUUAUGUAACCCUAAAAGUGUCUCUAAAUUGUAGAAGUAAAACCUUAAUACUCUAACUUGGAUACCAAGGUAAAAUCCUCUCCAUUAAAAGGAUCACAUAUGCCCACUACUAAAGAGAAAUCCUCUCCAUUAGGAGUCUCACACGUGAUCACUACUAAGGAGAAAUCUUCUCCAUUAGGAGCAUCUCACAUGGCAAGAGCAUGUGUCUCACCAAAGAAACCCUAGACUACUUGGUCUAUUAUAUAAGACCUAAAAUAAAACCUAAUCUACUAAGAAAUCACUGAUGGCCCAUGAUGAAUAGAGCUUGGGCCCACUUAUAAUAGAUGACUUUAACUCUUCUUGAAUAUUUGGCCAUGGUUAGGGGUAUGUCAUCACAAUUUAUAUGGUGCAAGCAGAAAACUGUGUCAAGAGAACCAAAAAAUAUAGUUUGUAAACUGACAAAAUCCAUUUAUGGGCUAAAAUACGCAUAUAGUCAAUGGUUUCUCAAAUUUCAUCUAAUAUAUCUUCUUGUUCUUGUAUGUUAAUGACAUUUUAGUUGUUACCAACAAUAUAAACAUGUUGUACGAAACUAAGAUAUUUCUAUUUAGAAAUUUUGAAAUGAAAGAUAUUAGUGAUGUUUCUUUUAUAUUAGAAAUUCAAAAACACCGAGAUUGAACUCAAGAUUUAUCUAAAGAAAUUAUGUAAAAGAGAAGAGUUUUCGAUUUUCAUUUUAUAAGUCAUUGUAGCACGACUUUGUCCUCAAACAUUUCAAAGUGGGCUUUGCAAAAAUGAAAAAUUGAUGUCACAUGCGAGAGGAAGUCACGUGUUUGGUUUUCAUAAAGCCACAUAAGUGUUUUACUUUCCUCUUUCAAUUAACUUUGUUUUUAGUUGUGAAUUUUUUUUAAAAAAUCUUAUUGUGACACGUGGCAGAUGUUUCCAUUUAUACUCCCACAUUAGUUAAAUUUAUAAAUUCCUACGAUAUAAGAAGUGCCAUCACAUAAAACUUCAAAAAGUACUACUUUUAUCUUUCAUAUAAAAAUUUCUUAAAACCUUACUUUUAGAAAAGGUUAAGUUAGCUUUUAGUUUGUGCCCUAUAAAAAAGUAUUAUGUUUUUUAUUUUGCAAUCAUCAAAAUAAAGUAAAGUUAGUCCAUUAUUAGAAAAUAAAAUAAAGUUUAAUUUCGUUAAAAUGUAAAUAUUAAACAGUUAUUAAAUUUUUAUAGAAACUAAAAUUAACAUUUUUCGACAUAUACAUAUGUAUACAUAUACACAUGUUAUUAAACUCUCGAGUUAACUCUUAAACUCUUACGAGUUUACGUUUCCAGAUAUGGCUUCCGAGUUAACUCGGAAGUAAACACUUUUUUGCAUAAACUCGAUAUAAUUAAUUGUGAAAUCGAUAGGAUUGUGUAGAAUCACGAGUUUAGAGCGAUUCUACUAGCUUGAAAGAGGAAAAAAAUUAAGAGAAACAAGGUCGUUUGAUCUUUUUUUAUUAUAUAUUUAAUGAAAUGCAUCAAAAUUAAUAACAAUAAUCCAAAUAUUUAUGUUUUACAAUAUUUAUUUUUAUGAAUAAUAUAUCUAUAAAUUUUAUUUAUUUAAAGUUAUAUAAUUUUGUAGACUUAUUUGAAUUAAGAUAUUAUUCAUAUAGUAUUUUUCAUCUGAAAUAAACUCUUACGAGUUUACGAGUCGAGGUUACUCAACUCUCACGAGUUAACGUAAACUCGCGAGUUUAAUAACCUUGGAUAUACAUAUAUCGUUCUUUUGAAUCUGUAUAAGGAGUGUGUUUCCAAUGUAGCACAGAAUGUUGUAGUAGUUGAUAUCUGCUUUUCAGUCCUGUAAAAAAGAAAACCCCGCUGCUGCAUAUAUAAUAAUCAAGGGUGAUGGAGAAAAUGUAUGUAACAUGAAGAGUGUUGUCACAAUUCAAAUCAUACUAAAAUUAUAAAGGUAGUGGCUCAGAUUCCCUGAGAUGAUGUUCUACCAGGUGAAAGCUGACAACACAUAAGAUGGAUAAGCUUCAUAUUUGGAAGCAAGUGAUUGCACAGCAGAUGAAUCUGCAACUUCUCCAAAACUAUGAAGCCCAAGUUCAGUAGCGUGAAUCCCACCAGUGAUAAAAACUGAUUCUAUUCCAGCAGCAUUAGCACCCUUAAUAUCAUGAUGGAGUGAAUCACCCACAGCAAUACAGUCAGAGCCAUCUGUCCCAGCCAUUGCCAUGGCUGACUUGUAGAUUAUCUGAUAAAUCUCACUUGUUACAAAGAGUGCCAAGAACAUGGAAUAAGGAUGCAUAUGCCAAUAGAACAGAAGAUGAUGUCCCACAAAAAUCUUAGUCAUGUAUUAUAUGCAUAAAUAUGUUCCUACUUGCUCCCCAAAAAACUAGUACCACAUAUGUAAUUCAAUCAUGAGAAAACAAAAAAUCAAGCUCCGGGUGAGAAUUAUGCAGAAUUUAUAAGGAAAACAGUUUGGAUAAUUUAAUCCAUUUAUCUGUGCUUAACGUGAUAAAUUAAAACUGUGAAUUUACUUUUGCUUGUUGAGAUUGCUUUUAAAAUGUGCACAACUGUGAGAAUAAGAUACAGCUAACUUGAAAAUGCUAGAGGAAUUAAACACGCCGCUUAAUAAUUUUGAAAGAUGAUACUUGAAUUAUGUACCAAAUAAUUCAGGGUAUAAAUUGACCACUUAACAUUUGCAGAAAACGUAAAUCUUACUUGUACCAUUGUGUAUGUAAGAUCUGAGCAGUCUAGAUACUAAAAGCAUGGAAUACACUAAGAAGAAAACAACUAUCAAAAGUGGAAUUAAUAGUAUUCACACGGAGAUAGAUUCAUCUUCAUCACCUCAUCAGGUUUGCCCAUCCAUUUUACUUCACCCCCAAGCUUUUCAUAUUUAGCUGCCAGUGUACCUACAAGUUUAAAAUAUGCACACGAAAAAUUGAUAUAAGGUGAAAAGGAUGUUUAGGCAUUAAACUUUUAGAUUUCGUUAAAAGGGUAAAGGACAAGAUAAAGCAAAUUCACCAGGCAUCACACGUAAGUCUCUUGCUUCAACAGUUACAUAAUCUGGAUUAGCUACAACCAUAGGAAUUCCUUUGAAAGCACAAAGCUCCAAGAUUUUCUCAAGGUCUUCAAGUUUCAUUGAACGUGCACUCCCAUCAGCAUUCCCCAGGGCUUCAGUACCAUGAGCCAAAACAAAUUCAGCUUCUUCAACAUUCUCCACAACUUGCAAGUCUAAGCCCUAGAUCAUAUGCUGUAAGAUUUUAGAUCCCACGAUGUAUAUUACUCUCUGCAAUCAUCUUUGCAUUGUCUAAAUUAACCUUUUUAUUUACACAUAUACCUUCUCUAGGUUACUGAUAAUUGAAAACAAUCAUUUGACUUUCAAAUGGACAAAACGAAAAAGACCUUGCUAAUCUCAUCUUUAGCAAUUUCCUCAACUCCAUCAUUUAAGAAGAAAGGAGCCCUUCUAAGCAGAUUAAUUGAUAUAACUAUAAACCAGGUUCCAAGAAACAAUUACUCAAAGAACAAUAAAGCAAUAGUUUUUAGGAAGUAACAAUUUAAUAUAUUAAUGUGGUGAAUAUCAGAAUUGAAGCUGCCCAACCCACCUCAAGAGAGAUUGCUCCCCGGCCAUUCCAGGUGAAAUGAAUACAAGAUCUUCCCAAUGCCGCAAACCAAGGAUCAUCUCUCCUGCUUAGAAAGCACAACAAAUUAUACACAGAGCGACAAUGUAUUUACAGAAUGAAGGAAAUGAUAAUUGAACACGGAGUCAUGGAUAACAAAGGCACAUGGUAUACAUCAAACAGAUAUUUUGGUAGUAUGAUUGCAAUUAGAAUUAUGAAGAGAAGAAUGAUGGAAUGAAAGAGCCACUUAAUGAUUGGUUUAUGUUUUGCUGCAUGAAGAGGAAAGAAACAAGAAACAAGAAACAACCUUUGCAAAUACUGGUGAGUUAGUUCUCCACUAGUGACGGCCCCCAGAAAAAGAGAGGCAUCAAAGCCAAGACCCUUCACUUUUUCAAUGGUGGUUGAUGAUCGUCUUGAGGAGUUGCUUAUGAUCACCAUCUUAGCACCCGUCUUUGCUAUAUUUUCUACUAAAAGAAUUAAAACAUAAGAGACAUUAGCUUCAUAGUAGGGAAGAUACAACACAGGAUACGAGAAGCAGAAAGAAAAAGGAAAGAGUGGAACAAUAAUCAUAGUUACAUGUCGAAAUAGCAGCUGGAUAAGGCUGUUUUCCGUCGUGGAGUACUCCGAACUGGUCCAACAACCAUACCUGAACGGUGUAAUAACAUAUCUGAUAAUGUUAUUUGUGUUGUAUGGGUAAGAGAUAAAUAUAAAAUGUUAAAAUGGUAUGAUUAAGGAACCUUGAAACGGCGCGUUUCGGCGAGUUGUCGGAGACCGUUCAAGGUAUGAAACUGAAGGGGCGGCACAGAGCAUUUGGGCAUCAUUCUUCAGCACUCCCAGCUCCGCUUAGGUCAACUUCAUGAAAUUACUUUAGUGCCAUUGAAAUUCUACGUUCUACGCUAAAUGUAAAAUCGAUCUAUUCAUGAAAACAAAUUGAGGAGGCUGAUGAAGAUUAACGAUGGAUUUAGAUACAAACAAAAGCACCCAACACAAAAUUUUCUUGUUCUGUUCCUUCUCUUUAUCAUUUAUCUGUGAUGCCAGAUCACUCCACAUUUCUUUCAUUUAGGAGUACAACCUUAAAAUUACAGAAAAAAAAACCAGAAUAAUAAUACCAUUACAUAUUUUUAAUACAUAUAAAAAUAAAAUAGUCUAAAAAAAUGUAAAAUUUUAUAAUUUUUCAAAAAAAAAAAUAAAGAUAAUAUCAAAUAUAAAAAAUUUAAGUGUGUCAAAUUAUCAUUUUUCAAACCAUAAAGAAUUUAAUAAAAAAUUAAAUUUAUAUUGAAAUACUAUUAACCUUCUAUUUUCAUCAUGGUUCUCGCUCAUUUUCCUUUUAUUCUAACCCAACAUUUAAACGAAAUAGUAAAAGUUGUAACGAUAUGAAUAUUUGAUAUUGUUUAUUUCAAAGUGUUUUACACCUAUUUUGUUAACAUGUACUGAUUUGAAGGAUUACAAAUAUUUUCUUUAUGAUUAUAUGAAUUAAAAUAUUUUUUAAUGUAAAAGAAUACAAUAAGAUUUAUUUUAAAUUUUAUAGAAUUAAAAUAUAAUUAAAUUGAAUAUACUCCGGAUUACAUUUUCUUUUCAAUUAAAAUGAAGAAAUUGAAAAUCAUAAAAAUUAAAGGUCAUUUCAUACUAAUUUUUUAGAAGAGUGUGUCUACUUGAUAUUCAUUUUUAAAAAGUUUUAAUUUCGUUCUCAAACAAUUUAAUAUGCAUCAAUCAAGUCAUCAUCCUCACUUUUUCAUAUAUGGUGUUAACUGGUUGAUGAUGUGACAAAAGAGAAGAUCUACAUGUAACAGUUUAUAAAUCUAAGUACAAAUUGGGUUGUUGAGGUGUGUGAUUCUAAAGGUGAAUUUUGAAGACUGAGAUUCGCCCUAGUUUUUUUCUACGUGUUGUGUUCUUGUGUAUCCAUUGUCUUCUUUUGUGUCUUGUGUGGUGUUCUUACUGUGUGAGCUUGUUGAUGAACUUUGGUUUGGAAAAGGUAAUGGUUCAUGAAGGGUACAAUGUCUCACAAUCAUAAUUGUUCAUCUUGUUCCUAGGGCUCACAAAACCAUAACAUGUUGUAUUAUGAUGCUUCAUCUAAGGGAUCUAGUGGACUACCAAUUUGUCAUUGUUUGGAGGUUAUAGUGUUGAGAGUAGCUAGAAUUGUUAACAAUGGCGAGAGACAAUUAUGAGGUUGUCCUAACUACAAGGUUUGAUUGGGGUAUAUUUAAUUCGUGUUAAUAAUUGUUUGAUGUUAAUGAAAAGGUUAGUUCUACUGGAUUUUUUGAAGAACAAAGUGGAAAUGAAGAUUCUCAAGGAUGUACUUAUUUCAAAUGGUACAAUGAAGAUAGCAGAGAUGAAAGGGAUGCUACUAUUGUUAUGCAAAGAAGAAAGAUCUAUAAUAUAGAGAAAUCUCUCAUACUUUGUAAAAAAUAGGGUUAAAUUGUUAAUAUCGAUUAUAUGUUUUGUGGGGUUGAUUCACAUCAUCCUUGUUAGUAUGUUAUUUAAAAUUCCAUAAAAUGUGGUCAAAGUUUAUAUGGAGUUUGUGGGUUGUAAUAAGUAUGGUGAAGAACUUUCGUGUAUAUUUUUGCAAUUUGAUGUUAUCAAACGAAUAAGAAGUUUAUUGGAAUGUAUAGAAAAACAUAUCAAUGGAGCUAAUAGACAUGUUAUAAAUUUCAAAAACAUUGGAGUAAAAAACAUUCAUCUUUAAAACACAUAACUUGUUAAUAAACAUAAAUUGUGCAACAAAUAGAGAUGUUAUAAAUUCCAAAAACAAUUGAGUAAAAAACAUUCAUCUUUAAUACACAUAACUUUCUAAUAAAGAUAAAUUAUGUAGUAAACAAACAUGUUACAAAUUUCAAAAACAUUGGAGUAAAAAACAUUCAUCUUCAAAACAUAUAACCUAGUAAUAAACAUAAAUUAUGUUGUAAAUACAAUUCAUAAUAAUUCAAAAUACAUUUGAAUACAUAACAUUGUUCUUCAAAAUAAGUUGUGUAAUUAUAGGUACAUUUGGAAACCAAAAUAAACUGGUAAUCGAAAUAUAUACAUAAAUAAUAUUUCAUCAUUUUGGAACUGGCCCUUUUUACAUGGUAAUUUAUGUGUAAUUAUAGGUGUUGCAGUUGGUGUGGUUGUUGAGUGAGUUAUUGGUUGUCUUGAUUGGUGUUGUGUUUGAGGAGCUUGUGGACAACUAUUUCUUUUGUUUCCAAGUUGUCUGCAUAUCCCACAUAUCUUAGGUGUAUCACUUUGUCUUAGUUGUGUGUCAUCUUUCCUCAGCUUCCAGGACUCUAGUCUUCUUUUCUUUUUUGGUCUUCUAGGCAACAUCAUUGUUACAAGUUAUUUCCCAUAGAUAAGGACAAUUGACAUGGUAUAUCAUUGAAAGGUAUGUUUCUUCAUCGGUUGACCUGGUAAACCAGUGUGAGAUAUAAUAUUUUGCAUUAAUGUUUAAGAAUCUCAUGGUAGUCAAUGUGUGACAGCAAGGCAUUCAUAUUAUAGUCCAUUUCCAGCAGCUACAAUUGAGUUUAUCUAUGUUCACCAUAAACUUCUAACCAAUCAUGGACUUGUGUUUGACCUCAAAUAAUUUUUAUCUUGACCAACUAUAAAAUCAAUUGAAAUUAUAAUAGGGCAAUGCAUAAUUAAUCCUACAUAAAUAUAUCAAACCACAAUCAUACCUAAAAGUAUCCAGUAUUUAAUCUUUUAAAAUUCCUUUUGUAGUGUUUUUUUUUUAAUUCUUGGGUAGAGGAAACCUUCACUUGCAUUGAUCUUGCUUCUAUUUUUUGCCUAUCUAUCUUCAUGAGGUAAAGUUGAAUGUCUUCCAUCAUUUUUAUGAUGGGCUUACUCCUUGUUGUCAUGAUUGCACUGUUAAAAGCCUCUGACAUAUUACUUACAAGUGUGUCACAAGAUGUUAUUGUGAACUUAACCAAAAUCUAAUUUAGAAUAAAUGAAACAUUAAAAGCAACAACAAAAAAAUUGAAAUAAUGAACAAGUCAAAGCGGUGCAGUGGAAUGGUUAGCGUGAACAACAAACCAAGAAGGGGGUGAAUUGGUUUCUUAUCGUAAAUUCGUGUCUUUGAUAAUUUUCUCUUUAUUUUAAUUUCCUUAGUGAUUAAUUUAAAACAAAUAUAAAGAGUAAAAAGAUAGAGAAUUGCACAGAUAAUUUUAUAUCGAUUCAAAUCACAAGGAUCUUACGUCCAAUUGCUAAUCCCAAACGAAGAUUAACUUUUCACUAGCCCAAAACAAAUAAAUUGUUACAAUUACAAAGAAAAAAAAAGUUUAAGGUUUAGAAAACACCUAUCUUGUUACCAUAAGAGAUGAAACUCACUUCCCCUGAAGGCCACAAGGGAUGAAUACCUCCUCCGAAUGUUUUAGGAAGGAUGAACACUUCCUUUGAAUCUUCACAAAGGAUGACAUGAUUCAUUCAGCAAUAGCAACAACACUCAAUCACAAUCCUAGUGAAAGUUUUCGUACUAUGUCAACACUAAGUUCUCAAAGUCACAACAUAAGGGUUACAUAAACCUUAGAACACACUUUUCACAACUCAAAAUCAAUAAGAUAAGUUUUUGUGUAUUAGAAUGAGAGUCUCAAAUCAAUAUAUUAAGAUCUCACUCAAGGACACCUCCAAAAAUUUGUUGACAUUCAUUUGACGUGUGAUAAUCGAUUAUCAACUUAUGGUAAUCGAUUAUGCAUUUAAUGAAUGCACCACGUCCAAAACCAUGCCUAAAAACUCCAAUGGCUAGUCAUAAUAAUCGAUUAUGGUAAGUCAUAAUCGAUUAUGGAUAAUUGAUUAUCCUAAGCUAGUAAUCGAUUAUUUCGGAGACAAAAUGAGUUUUUAGAAAACUUUAAAAAUCUCUUUGUGAUAAUCGAUUAUCUUAAGUGUUAAUCAAUUAUUGUAGAGUUUUUGUGACUCCAAAAAGUAUUUUAAAGAAAACAAUACAAGGAAUCAACAACAAAUAAAGACCUAUACAUAAAUCUACUUAUUACAAAAAGCUUUAACACAAAACACAAGACUUCAGGAAGAUCUUCUUGCAACUUGAGCACUUGAGACUUGAUUUGGGCAUCAUCAAAAGUUCUAACUUCAAGAUUUUGCUAAGAAAACAUGCUUUUGAGUUUUGAAUUCAUACCUUGAGGGAAUAACUUUCAAAUGUUUAAAGGCGUCUUCAUUCAACUCUUUAAUGUCUCUCAUGACUGUCUCCUAUGCUUGAGAGUUUGUGGGUGUUGUUGCCUUCCAUAAUAGAUGUUUCAAUUCUUUUCUAGGGAAUUUCUUCCUAAAAUUUUCAUAUAUAUGAUUGUUGAAAAUAAAAUGACUUUUGUAUAAAAGUGCAGGGAUAGAGAAUUCAAACGCAGGUUUUUAUACUGGUUCGGCCAAACUGCCUACAUCUAGUGUCCUUCCUGUACCCGGAAGCAAAUGCACUAUAAUGAUCAGGGUUUUUUAAACAAGGUUUCUAUAGCGACCUCCACAUCAAAAUAUAAAACACCUCUCUAACCCUCUAACCAAAAUAUAGGCAUAUACAAAAUAAAGACAGCAGCAAGAUGUCCCCUCUCCUACAAUCCUCACUACUUUGAACAAUCCUUAAAGUCUAGAACGCCUCACGUUCUCUUCCUAUAGUCACAACAGGGCAGCCACAAUCUUCACAAGAUUAAGAGAAGAAGUCGAUCACGUUUCAAACACCUCAAUGUGCAGGAUGAUCAAUAUGUCUUUUAGCACAAAUUCUUGCUCUGCAAGCAACCACCAAAGAAUGAACACCUCGGUCUUUUUGAUGAGUUCUUGGAGCUUUAGCACGUUCUGCAAAUCUGAAAAGAAUUAAUUAACUCGUUAAAAUCACAAAAGUCUCUCUAGAAAUCAAAUUUGCGUCCAUAUAUAGUUUUUCAAAAAACUGACGCUCCUAAGUCGACUGUACUACUAAUAAAGUCGAUUAUACAUAGACAAUUAUAACAAAUAGUAGCAGUCAGACCAACUUAAUUGAUUACGCAUUUAAUACAGUUGACUAACAAUUAAUGCUUGGUCAAAGAUAUAAAAUAUAGCCGUUUCAAAACAUAACUAAGUCGAGUAGCUUGCGCAUACAGUCGACUUCGUAACACUUCAAUGCAGUUUUGAAAAACUUUCUUUGCAAAAAUACUCACAGGACACUUUGAAAAAAUUUGUGCAAAGUCACGAGUUUUAAUCGACUUGCUUCAUAAUGAAGUCGACUUAAAAUUUCUCUUUUGCCACACAAUAUAAGUUCAACUAAAGUUCAUGUGGUUUUUCUUUUCUAAAUCAUAUGUUAUGCAAUCACAGACAAUAUCUCAUGUAGAACACAAUGAAUUCGCAUACUUUGACAGAAUCAACACAAACAUGUUCUCAAGUAAUCAUAAACAUGAAAGUAAUGAACAUGUAACACAUAAACACAUAACAACUCAUGUUGUUAUCAAUAAUGUGUUGUCAUCAUUAAAACCAGAAGCUAUGAGAUUGUAAGGUUUAGCUAAACCAAUGCUCCCCUUAUCAACAAUCUCAACAAUGAUGAACACAAAACCUUUGAUCCACACCAGGUAAAAGUUGUUGUAAUAUUAAGAAAAGUUCCUAUGGAAGUUAUUGACAAUACUAUGAUUCAGGUGUGACAAAUCAAGAAAAGAAAUGUAUAAGAAAACUAAAAACAAAUAUCUAACUCACUUUCUGUUGGUCUGAAAUAUAUGUAAAGUUUAGGCUUAAUACUGCUUUUGGUCCCUAGUUUUGAGGGUUGUGUUCAAAACAGUCCUACCUUUUUUUUCACGUAACAAUUGAUCCCAACUUUUGAAAAAACGGAUCAAGUUGAUCCUUUUUGCUAACGGCGUCAAAAAGUAAACGGAUCCUGGACAAAACAUGUUGAACUGUGUCAUACGUGGCAUGAUGGGUAAUAUAACAUGUCAAUUUUGAAUUUUAAAAAAAAAAUCUUAACACAUAAGCUUCAUCUUCCACCUCCACCAGUUUUUCAAGCAUGUCUCCUCCCACUCCGAUUCCACUGGCUCCGACCUCCAUUUCCACUACGACUCUGAUGAAGAGGGAUAUAAAUAUCAUAGCAAAACCCUCUUAUUUUUUACUCUCACACACCCUAGUCUCUUUGUGCAUAGAAAACAAAUUUGAGAGAAGGAAGCAUUGAAAAACGAAGAGACUCUGGGAACCCCAAAUCCCAGAAGCUCAGUCUUCGCUGGAAAAUGGAGAACAAGCUUUAAUCAAACCGCAACCUCGCCCAAGAAGAUGCAUCGCUUAUUCGAUUUCUAGGGUUUCGGUUUCUCUCUCCCCGCCUUGGACCAAAAUAUGGGGAACGUUGCAACAACCAUGGUUUUCUACCGGGAGCACAUUCAAACAUCCAAUUGGAUGGAGAAGACAAUCGGCGAAUGCCCAUUUGUUAGUUUCAGAGUGAGUAAAAAACGUUUUAGCAGGUCACCUAAAGUUUCCCUGCUUUUCCUCCCCUCUCACAAGCUGUAUUGGUUUUUGUUGGGUGUUGAAAUGUUUAAUCCAACCCUGUUUUGAAACGUUGCAAAAGUUUUGCUCAUCUCUUAAAAUUUCAUUUUUUUUUGUUUUUCUUUUCUGUCUUGCUCAUCAUGCUCUGUAAAGAGGAGUUGACUUUAUUGUUAUUCUUGGGGGUAUGGUCUUCUUUCUUUGCUGGGUGGAUAAUUUUCAGAGGUGUUAAUCAAUUGGUAAUGUUGCAUUAUUGGGUUCUGUACUGUAGGGUUCCUUAGUUGAUGAAAGAGGUGUUUGAGUUGUGAGUGUUGGUGUUGUGGUUUUCGAAAAAUUAUCUCCUUGUUCUCUACCCCAGGCUUAGUGUUUGGGAAGCUUAGUUUUACAUUGGUUCAUUGGUGUAGUGGGUAACAGAGCAAUUCCCUGCAACAGUAAAUCAAUUAGCAUCUUGGCCAGCGAGCCUCUCGCACAAGGUUAUUACCUGACAGUAAAAGGAGGAAUGAAGAAGGAGAUGGAGAAAAAGAAUAGCAACAGAAGAAGAUAAGUUGAUUAUCUCUUGGGUUGUCCAAGCACGGGGACCAGCGAAUUUUAGAAGUUUACCAAUUAAUUUCUCAUCUUGUAUGGCUAUAAAUGUCAAGCGAGCUAUAUCCUAAGGGUGGAGGCAGAGCGAUUAGAAAGGAAACAUGAAGUGGGAAAGAAAGCGUGGAGGAAGAUGAAUUGUGGUACAUAAAUUACCCGAGUAUCCAUGUAAGCUAUUCUGGUGGGGGCAUCAGUUCCCCAAACAGAUUUUUCUUCAAGGAUGGGAACUGCGUACUGACCAAUAAGACCCUGCAAGGAAAGAUUGUAAAUGAAUGAAAUGGAAGUGGGUAGAAAUUAAAGGAAUGGAUUGAGGGCAGAGUAAGGUGGCGGUGACCUGCAUGAAACCGCAUAAGCGGAUGACAAUGUGAUUGAGGCCAGAAUCACGGAGGAACUUCUCAGUGCAAUACUUGAUUUCCAUGAGGGGAACCUCGGGAUGUUUGUCACAAUUGUGGAUGAAGUAGAAGACAUAUUUCUGAAUGCCCAUUGCCUUGGCACAUUGUACGAGAGCCACUUUUCCUUCCCAGUCUACCUAUGUUUGUAUGAAUGAAUUGUAUAAAAUGUGUGCAAAGGAAAGGAAAUUAAAUGAAAAGGUGAGUGGAGGGGGGGUUGGUUACGGUUUUGAUAGGCUCCUCGGGACAACCAGUGGUGCAGUCAAUGACAGUGUGAAUACCGACCAAGGUAGCAGGAAUGGUCUCUUUUCCCCUUCCUGUCAGUUCCAUAGGCAUUGAUGUUAAAUCCAUAGUUGACCUAAUUACCAUUGGUUUGUGAUUAUUUGGGGGAAGUAAAGGAAGGCAGCGACUCACCCGUAGAAAUGGAAUGAGAAGGAAAGUUGGUGGAGGUGGAAGAUGAAGCUUAUGUGUUAAGAUUUUUUUUUUUAAAAUUUAAAAUUGACACCCUAUCGUGCCACGUUGGAGACAGCUCAAUAUGUUUUGUACAAGAUGUAACUACACUGUUUGAUUUUUGACGCUAUUAGCAAAAAGGAUGAAUUUGACCCGUUUUUUCAAAAGUUGGGAUCGAUUGUUACGUGAAAAAAAAGGUAGGACCAUUUUGAACACAACCCUCCAAACUAGGGACCAAAAGCGGUAUUAAGCCUAAAGUUUAAACAUAGUUCAUCCCUACCAAGAUCGUCAAUCAACCACUUUGAAAACCAAUUCCAUGUUUUCUUAUUUUCAACUUCAACAACAACAUAUGUCAAAGGAAGCAUUUGAUCAUUACCAUCUCUUGCAACAUUUGAUAACAACUCUCUGCCAUAUUUUCCUUUAAAAAAAACAAUCAUCUAAGCCAAUAAUAAGCUUACAACAUUUAAAGUUAUCCUUGCAUGUCUUCAAACACACAUAUAAUCUCUUGAAAAUUAGGUUGUCUUCU